rnacentral:rRNA from 1 species
CCUACGGGUGGCAGCAGUCGAGAAUCAUUCACAAUGGGGGAAACCCUGAUGGUGCGACGCCGCGUGGGGGAAUGAAGGUCUUCGGAUUGUAAACCCCUGUCAUGUGGGAGCAAAUUAAAAAGAUAGUACCACAAGAGGAAGAGACGGCUAACUCUGUGCCAGCAGUCGCGGUAAUACAGAGGUCUCAAGCGUUGUUCGGAAUCACUGGGCGUAAAGCGUGCGUAGGCGGUUUCGUAAGUCGUGUGUGAAAGGCGCGGGCUCAACCCGCGGACGGCAGAUGAUACUGCGAGACUAGAGUGAUGGAGGGGGAACCGGAAUUCUCGGUGUAGCAGGGAAAUGCGUAGAUAGCGAGAGGAACACUCGUGGCGAAGGCGGGUUCCUGGACAUUAACUGACGCUGAGGCACGAAGGCCAGGGGAGCGAAAGGGAUUAGAUACCCCUGUAGUC